AUUGAACGCUGGCGGCAGGCCUAACACAUGCAAGUCGAGCGAGCGGCGGACGGGUGAGUAAUGUAUGGGGACUUCCCUAUAGAGGGGGAUAACUACUUGAAACGGUGGCUAAUACCGCAUACUAUCGGAUAACCCAUAUGGGAUUAGCUAGUAGGUGGGGUAAAGGCUCACCUAGGCGACGAUCUCUAGCUGGUCUGAGAGGAUGCUCAGCGACACUGGGACGGAGACACGGGCUAGACUCAAAGGGAGGCAGCAGUGGGGAAGAUUAGAGAGAGGGCGAAAGCCUGAUGAAGCGAUGAAGCGUGUAUGAAGAAGGACGUAGGGCUGUAAAGUACUGUCAGCGAGGAGGCGUUACCAGCAGAAGAAGCUCCGGCAAACUCCGGGACAGCAGCCGCGGUAAUAC
rnacentral:rRNA from 1 species